rnacentral:rRNA from 1 species
CUACGGGCUGCACCAGUGAGGAAUAUUGCGCAAUGGACGAAAGUCUGACGCAGCCAUGCCGCGUGCAGGAUGACGGCGCUAUGCGUUGUAAACUGCUUUUAUAGGCCAAGAAACCUUCGGACGUGUCCGAAGCUGACGGUAGCAUAUGAAUAAGCACCGGCUAACUCCGGGCCAGCAGGCCGCGGUAAUACGGAGGGUGCAAGCGUUAUCCGGAUUUAUUGGGUUUAAAGGGUCCGUAGGCGGAUCAUUAAGUCAGUGGUGAAAGCCGGCAGCUCAACUGUCGAACUGCCAUUGAUACUGGUGAUCUUGAAUACGGUUGAAGUUGGCGGAAUAGGUCAUGUAGCGGUGAAAUGCUUAGAUAUGACCUAGAACACCGAUUGCGAAGGCAGCCAACUAAGCCGUUAUUGACGCUGAGGGACGAAAGCGUGGGGAGCGAACAGGAUUAGAUACCCUAGUAGUC